rnacentral:rRNA from 1 species
GGUUAAGCGAAUAAGCGUACACGGUGGAUGCCCUGGCAGUCAGAGGCGAUGAAGGACGUGCUAAUCUGCGAUAAGCGUCGGUAAGGUGAUAUGAACCGUUAUA